rnacentral:rRNA from 1 species
AUGAACGCUGGCGGCGUGCCUAAUCCCUGCAAGUCGAGCGAACGGACGAGAAGCUUGCUUUUCUGAUGUUAGCGGCGGACGGGUGAGUAACACGUGGAUAACCUACCUAUAAGACUGGGAUAACUUCGGGAAACCGGAGCUAAUACCGGAUAAUAUUUUGAACCGCAUGGUUCCAAAGUGAAAGACGGUCUUGCUGUCACUUAUAGAUGGAUCCGCGCUGCAUUAGCUAGUUGGUAAGGUAACGGCUUACCAAGGCAACGAUGCAUAGCCGACCUGAGAGGGUGAUCGGCCACACUGGAACUGAGACACGGUCCAGACUCCUACGGGAGGCAGCAGUAGGGAAUCUUCCGCAAUGGGCGAAAGCCUGACGGAGCAACGCCGCGUGAGUGAUGAAGGUCUUCGGAUCGUAAAACUCUGUUAUUAGGGAAGAACAUAUGUGUAAGUAACUGUGCACAUCUUGACGGUACCUAAUCAGAAAGCCACGGCUAACUACGUG